rnacentral:tRNA from 1 species
GAGGCAGUAUCUUAAUAGAUGGAGCCCUCACCUAGUGUGCAAAAAGACCCGGGUUCGACUCCCGGCUGCCCCA